rnacentral:rRNA from 1 species
UCAGGCCUAACACAUGCAAGUCGAGCGGUAGCAGGAAGUGCUUGCACUUCGCUGACGAGCGGCGGACGGGUGCGUAACACGUAGGAAUCUGCCUGGUAGUGGGGGAUAGCCCGGAGAAAUCCGGAUUAAUACCGCAUACGCCCUACGGGGGAAAGGAGGGGAUCUUCGGACCUUUCGCUAUCAGAUGAGCCUGCGUCGGAUUAGCUUGUUGGUGGGGUAAAGGCCUACCAAGGCGACGAUCCGUAGCUGGUCUGAGAGGAUGAUCAGCCACACUGGGACUGAGACACGGCCCAGACUCCUACGGGAGGCAGCAGUGGGGAAUAUUGCACAAUGGGCGAAAGCCUGAUGCAGCCAUGCCGCGUGUGUGAAGAAGGCUCUAGGGUUGUAAAGCACUUUCAGUGGGGAGGAAAGGUUGAAGGUUAAUACCCUUCAGCUGUGACGUUACCCACAGAAGAAGCACCGGCUAACUCCGUGCCAGCAGCCGCGGUAAUACGGAGGGUGCGAGCGUUAAUCGGAAUUACUGGGCGUAAAGCGUGCGUAGGCGGCCAACCUAAGUUGGAUGUGAAAGCCCCGGGCUCAACCUGGGAACUGCAUCCAAAACUGGGUGGCUAGAGUACGGGAGAGGAGUGUGGAAUUUCCUGUGUAGCGGUGAAAUGCGUAGAUAUAGGAAGGAACACCAGUGGCGAAGGCGACACUCUGG